rnacentral:rRNA from 1 species
ACAGAGGUGCCAAGCGUUGUUCGGAUUUACUGGGCGUAAAGGGUGCGUAGGUGGUUUGGUAAGUCGGGUGUGAAAUCCUGCAGCUCAACUGCAGAACUGCAUUCGAAACUGCCAAGCUAGAGUACUGGAGAGGAGAUCGGAAUUCUCGGUGUAGCAGUGAAAUGCGUAGAUAUCGAGAGGAACACCAGUGGCGAAGGCGGAUCUCUGGACAGUUACUGACACUGAGGCACGAAAGCCAGGGGAGCAAACGGGA